rnacentral:rRNA from 1 species
GAUGAACGCUAGCUACAGGCUUAACACAUGCAAGUCGAGGGGAAACGCCAUCGAAAGCUUGCUUUUGAUGGGCGUCGACCGGCGCACGGGUGAGUAACGCGUAUCCAACCUGCCCACCACUUGGGGAUAACCUUGCGAAAGUAAGACUAAUACCCAAUGAUAUCUCUAGAAGACAUCUGAAAGAGAUUAAAGAUUUAUCGGUGAUGGAUGGGGAUGCGUCUGAUUAGCUUGUUGGCGGGGUAACGGCCCACCAAGGCAACGAUCAGUAGGGGUUCUGAGAGGAAGGUCCCCCACAUUGGAACUGAGACACGGUCCAAACUCCUACGGGAGGCAGCAGUGAGGAAUAUUGGUCAAUGGACGAGAGUCUGAACCAGCCAAGUAGCGUGCAGGAAGACGGCCCUAGGGGUUGUAAACUGCUUUUAUAAGGGAAUAAAGUGAGUCUCGUGAGACUUUUUGCAUGUACCUUAUGAAUAAGGACCGGCUAAUUCCGUG